rnacentral:rRNA from 1 species
UACGUAGGGUGCGAGCGUUGUCCGGAAUUAUUGGGCGUAAAGAGCUCGUAGGCGGUUUGUCACGUCUGCUGUGAAAUCCCGAGGCUCAACCCCGGGCCUGCAUCCGAUACUCCCGGGCUGGAGGCAGGUAGGGGAGAUCGGAAUUCCUGGUGUAGCGGUGAAAUGCGCAGAUAUCAGGAGGAACACCGGUGGCGAAGGCGGAUCUCUGGGCCUGUCCUGACGCUGAGGCGCGAAAGCUAGGGGAGCGAACAGG